rnacentral:rRNA from 1 species
CCCGCACAAGGGGGUGGAGCAUGUGGUUUAAUUGGAUGCAACGCGAAGAACCUUACCUGGUCUUGACAUAUCUAGAAUCCUGCAGAGAUGCGGGAGUGCCUUCGGGAAUUAGAAUACAGGUGCUGCAUGGCUGUCGUCAGCUCGUGUCGUGAGAUGUUGGGUUAAGUCCCGCAACGAGCGCAACCCUUGUCCUUAGUUACCAGCGGGUUAAGCCGGGAACUCUAAGGAUACUGCCAGUGACAAACUGGAGGAAGGCGGGGACGACGUCAAGUCAUCAUGGCCCUUACGACCAGGGCUACACACGUGCUACAAUGGUAGGUACAGAGGGCAGCUACACAGCGAUGUGAUGCGAAUCUCAAAAAGCCUAUCGUAGUCCAGAUUGGAGUCUGCAACUCGACUCCAUGAAGUAGGAAUCGCUAGUAAUCGCGGAUCAGAAUGCCGCGGUGAAUACGUUCCCGGGCCUUGUACACACCGCCCGUCACACCAUGGGAGUUGAUUGCACCAGAAGUGGAUAGCUUAACCUUCGGGGAGGCGUUCACCACGGUGUGGUUGAUGACUGGGGUGAAGUCGUAACAAGGUA